rnacentral:tRNA from 1 species
CAGCAAAUAUUUUAAUAAAAAUAUUAGUCUUGGGUAUUAAUGAUGUAAUAAAUUUACUUUGUUGA